rnacentral:rRNA from 1 species
ACUCAAAGGAAUAGACGGGGGCCCGCACAAGCAGUGGAGUAUGUGGUUUAAUUCGAAGCAACGCGAAGAACCUUACCAGGUCUUGACAUCCAACUAACGAAGUAGAGAUACAUUAGGUGCCCUUCGGGGAAAGUUGAGACAGGUGGUGCAUGGUUGUCGUCAGCUCGUGUCGUGAGAUGUUGGGUUAAGUCCCGCAACGAGCGCAACCCUUGCUAUUAGUUGCUACGCAAGAGCACUCUAAUAGGACUGCCGUUGACAAAACGGAGGAAGGUGGGGACGACGUCAAAUCAUCAUGCCCCUUAUGACCUGGGCUACACACGUACUACAAUGGAUGUUAACAGAGGGAAGCAAGACAGCGAUGUGGAGCAAACCCCUAAAAACAUUCUCAGUUCAGAUUGCAGGCUGCAACCCGCCUGCAUGAAGAUGGAAUUGCUAGUAAUCGCGGAUCAGCAUGCCGCGGUGAAUACGUUCCCGGGCCUUGUACACACCGCCCGU